rnacentral:rRNA from 1 species
CCUACGGGAGGCAGCAGUGAGGAAUAUUGGUCAAUGGACGAGAGUCUGAACCAGCCAAGUAGCGUGAAGGAUGACUGCUCUAUGGGUUGUAAACUUCUUUUAUAUUGGAAUAAAAUGUUCCACGUGUGGGAUUUUGUAUGUACCAUUUGAAUAAGGAUCGGCUAACUCCGUGCCAGCAGCCGCGGUAAUACGGAGGAUCCGAGCGUUAUCCGGAUUUAUUGGGUGUAAAGGGAGCGUAGGUGGAUUGUUAAGUCAGUUGUGAAAGUUUGCGGCUCAACCGUAAAAGUGCAGUUGAAACUGGCAGUCUUGAGUGCAGUAGAGGUGGGCGGAAUUCGUGGUGUAGCGGUGAAAUGCUUAGAUAUCACGAAGAACUCCGGUUGCGAAGGCAGCUCACUGGACUGCAACUGACACUGAGGCUCGAAAGUGUGGGUAGCAAACAGGAUUAGAUACCCUAGUAGUC